rnacentral:rRNA from 1 species
UACGUAGGCAGCGAGCGUUGUUCGGAGUUACUGGGCGUAAAGGGUGUGUAGGCGGUUCUUUAAGUUUGGUGUGAAAUCUCCCGGCUCAACCGGGAGGGUGCGCCGAAUACUGAGGAACUAGAGUACGGGAGAGGAAAGUGGAAUUCCUGGUGUAGCGGUGAAAUGCGUAGAUAUCAGGAGGAACACCGGUGGUGUAGACGGCUUUCUGGACCGUAACUGACGCUGAGGCGCGAAAGCUAGGGGAGCAAACGGG